rnacentral:rRNA from 1 species
ACGGGGGGGGCUAGUGUUAUUCGGAAUGACUAGGCGUAAAGGGCACGUAGGCGGUGAAUCCGGUUGAAAGUGAAAGUCGCCAGCUCAACUGGCGGAAUGCUUUCAAAACCAAUUCACUUGAGUAAGAUAGAGGAUAGUGGAAUUUCGUGUGUAGAGAUAAAAUUCACAGAUAUACGAAGGAACACCAAAAGCGAAGGCAGCUUUCUGGGUCUCUACUGACGCUGAGGUGCGAAAGCAUAGGGAGCAAACAGGAUUAGAUACCCUGGUAGUCUAUGCCGUAAACGAUGAGUGUUCGUCCUUGGUCUGCGCUGUAUGCAAAACGGCUGAUCAGGGGCCCAGCUAACGCGUUAAACACUCCGCCUGGGGAGUACGGCCGCAAGGCUG